UUCCCUUCCCCGCCCCUCCCUCCCUGCCUCCAGUGGAAGCCAGAGCCUCAGAGCCCCCAGGAGCCUGCACAAACCUCCCUCCUGGACUGGCUCCUCGGGGCCAGGGUGAGGGGGGUGGGGCCAGUGGGCCACUCUCUUUGGUUUCUAAGGGAGCUGGAGUGGAAAACUUCUUCCCUGCUGGGGGCCUCUUGGUAGCUUUGGGUGGCUUCUCCUUGGGCUUCUUUGUGGCCUUUGGUGGCUUCUCCUUGGGCUUCUUGGUAGCCUUGGGUGGCUUCUCCUUGGGCUUCUUGGUGGCCUUGGGUGGUUUCUCUUUCCCCUUCUUAGGUGGCCUGGGGGUCCCCUCUGAAGGGGGCUGCUUGGACACCUUGGGGCCCUUGUCCUUCUUCCCUUUCUUCCCUUUGUCUUUAGCCUUUUCCAGCAGUGCUGUCCAAGAUAAAGAUUUAAAUCAAAUUAGCAGAGCAUGCUGUGUUCAGCACUUGCCCAAGUGACAGAGCUGGGGUUUGAACCCAGGCUUGCUUUCUGGGAGUGCAGGGCUGCCAACCUGACAUCUCAGCCUCUGAAGACCGAGCAUGUGACACUCGUUUUGAGGGCUGAAACCUUAACAGGGGCCCUCAGGUUCCACUCCAUCACCCAGUGUCACUUGCCAAUCACAGGGCAUGCUGUUCUGUGCGGGGCCCGGAAGGGUCACCGAGUGACUGGACCACCCAAGGCCUGACAGAGCAAUGGUCACCCCUGCACAACACUGUCAUACAAGGGACACCGGUCCACCUAGGCCUUUCCUGAGCCUCCCUGCAGGAACAAGAAAAGCUUCCAGGAAAGGGUCACUAAAGACUCCUGCAGCCCACAAAGGAGCAAGAAAUAAGGGGCCUGGAGUAGGCUGAAAGCCAAGACCACUAGUGGGUGCUGGGAGACCUGUGGGCCACAUGGAGGGCAAAGGGACAGCCAGAGAGCUGCUACAUCUCAGGGAGACUGGGUCUGGGACCUCUGGGGGCUGCCUCAUGGAGACCCUCCCUGCACCCCAAAAGUAGCCGCAGACACUGCUGGGAGUUUAAUGGCAGAUGGGAGACACGAGGGUGGUUUGGCUAAAUACAGAAGUUAUGAAACAACAGAAGGAGGGCAGCCUCGCCAGCAUCUAGGAGCCCUGGACGGCAAACUCAGCGGCCGCAGGGAGGCUGCAGGGGCUGAGGUGUGGAGACAGCCAGGAAAAAGCUACAUCUGGGGUCCAGGGGGUGGGAAGCGGAGCAGCAAUUUAAGUGCCUCAGCGUCUCCUGGGAGAGAGAUCAUAAGAUCCUUUGCCACCCUCCAGAGGGCCAUGAUAAACAGCAAAGAUUUAUUGAGGCAGAUUACGUAAGAGCCUGGGUUACAUGCUUUGGCCGUGCAUCACCUCACUGAUUCUCCUAACCCCUGGAAGCUGGGCCAGAGGUCUCCUGCACGCCCCCACCAGGGCCUGUGUGCUCCUUGGUUGGGGGCCCUGUGACAGCAUCAUCCUCUUGGCCCAGGCCCGGACCCACUGGGAGCCUGGGGACCAGCAACCAGACAACCGCAUCCAGCCACCCCAAAAGUGGCAUGCGGCUGGGUGCUGAAUGUGCCCUCCUGGCCAGUGUCCCGCAGUUCCUCCCAGUGGGGAGCCGGGCGGGGAGAAGUGAGGGGGGCCCUGCAGAGUCCCCCGAGUUCUCAACUUCUGUGCCCCCUCUCACCACCCCUCCCCCAGUCCCCGGGUCUCCCCUUCCUGGACCCACCCCAGUCUCACCUCGAGGUCCCCACGGGGGGGGGGGGCUCACUUCCCCCACCCCACCCCCACUCACCUUCCUCGGCUGCCCCCGCCUGACCCCCCUCCGGGGCAGGGCGCGCGCGCUGGGGGGGGCGCCGGGGCCUCCACGUCGUCCUCGCGGCGCUCGGGCUGCAGCUCCGACAGGAAGCCCUCGAGGAACUCCUCGAUCUCGUCAUCGGUGAGCACGGUCUGCGGGCGCCCCCCGGGGCAGAGCGCCAGGAGCACCAAUAGGCCGCCGAGCAGGGGCGCCAUGCGCCCGCCCGCCAUGGCCCCAGGGGUCGGGGGAGAGGCCGGGGUUCCGCAGAGAGGCUGGGGCCCCGAGGCGGCAGCCGUGCGCUCCUGCCCCGCGUGGCGCGGUCCGCCCUCUCCAGGUGCUGGGCAUCGAACUCAGGACCUUGUCCAUACCAGGCAAGUCCUCUACCACUGAGCUACAUCCCAGACCUCGUACUCAUUUUUAGAAACCUGUUUUCAAGAGUAGCUCCAGCCAUCACAUGAACCCAGGAGCCACACAGAAGGAUCCAUCAUGGUCAAGGUCAGCGGCCCUACCCCAAGGUCGUCUGUGAUGGAGCUGGCUAGUGACCCCAGAGCUCUCAGGUGACCACACAGGGAGAGCUGAGAGAGAAGUGGUCAGGGAGCACUUGGCCUGGGACCUGGGCUCCCCCACCCCUGCACCCGGGUGGAAGGACCCUCCAAGGCCUGCCCAGCACUGUGCCCGGAGCUGGCCCCUGGUGUGAAUCCUGGCUGUGGCCCUCUAAUCUCAUUGACUGACUUCAGUGGAACUACUGUGUGCUGAUCAAGUGGAAUCAGGCCACAUGUUCCCUCUCACACCCCAUGGGCCCUGGGCUCUCAUUGUUUCCCUCGGAGACCUCGAGUCGGGGGACUGUCUCCUUCUGUCCCCCCGGCUCAGAGCAGCCCCCGGCAGCCAGACUUUGCCUGCCUGCCCGCUGGCCCAGCCUGGUCCUGGUGGCAGUGAGGAUGAAGGAAGCUGUCUUGCACCACCGACCCCUCCAAAGGCUGAAUCAUCACGCCCAGAGCUGGUUCUGGGAAUUCGCUCUGCUGUCCCGGCUUGAGUGUGUCAUGCUGGAGGCGACUCUUGGUAGGGGGCCAUGGGACGUCACUUCCCUGGGAAUGGCUCACACACAGGUUGGAUUUGGGCCCUGAGUCUUCUGCCAGGGAAAACAGAAGCUGUUAAGAGAACAAAAAAAGGACCUGCGGUCCUGAGCUGCAGUGAAUCACCAACAGGAACAUGAGCAGAGCCCCUGGUGGGGACCUGGGCCUAGGAGGGCCAAGGACUCCACCUCCAAGGGGCUGGGACCCUGCUCAGCCUGAAGCUGCAUCCAGGAGCCCUUUUGUCCCCAGCCCAGGACUCUACUGGGGUGGGAGCAACCACAGGGCUUGUCAUGGUUCCUCCUCUUCGAGGGGCACAGGAUCAGGGCCAAACUCCCCAGGGGCACAGCCAAGGCCAGUUGGGAACACUUGGGUCCUGGUCCCUGCCACUUGCAGGACGUUUAUGUCCACAUCCAGGUGCUAUCUGAGCUACCCCAGGGGUAUGACAGCCCCUACCCCACCUUCCUCCAGCUUCCUUGGUGUAUGUGGCAGGGACUACCCAAGGGUCUGGGCUAGCCCACCUUGCUCCUGCGAGGUGCAGGGAGAGUUCUUGGGGAGCAGAGACAUCUGAGGGUGGAGGCCUGAAGCUGACAAGAAAGAUGAGGAAACAAGGGGAGAGGACCAGGAGGAAGAGCCCUGUCCUGGCAGGGGAGCUGCCUGCCUGGGGAAGCCUGAGCAGACCCAGCAGGCUGAGGGGAAGGACAGGGCAUCUUGACACCACUGUCAUAUGGGACACCAGGGCCUCUUUGUCCCUUGCCCUAACACCUCUCUCCCUAGAAGAAAGGACACCCCACCCAUCUUCCUGCUACAAGAGGCCAAUCCUGGGACCAGGCCUCGGGAGGGAGAUUCUGUGCACAGGAUGAGAAAGCGAAGCUUCACUCCAGACCGAGCUUGGCCCAUUCCUGCUGGGAGAUGCUGGGCUGGGGGUGGAAGGGGCCGAGGAAGCCAGCCCUGCUUCCUGCCAUGGUUCUGCAGCCAGGCAGCAGGCUGUGACUUUGAAUGACGUCUUUGCUCCUUCAGGUGGGAUAGCAGGGGUGGCUCAGAGGCCACAGAGAGGAAGGGUCUGCUCAUUUGGACCCACCCUACCUACAAGCAAGGUUCCAGUUAGCAUCUGUCUUUGCAGAGGACACAGUUCAGACCUUGAGGCAAUGCCAGCCUGGGAGAUGUGAGAAACAAUCCUGCUCCGGCUUGCUGGUAACCCUGCCCCAUCUCCUUUCCUCCAGACCUCAGAGUUCUGCCAAAUCUGCAUGGUGACCCCACAGCUUCCUACUGCCCCCACUCACUCUCCAUGGCCAGGGAAUGUGGUCUCGAGCAGGACCCAGGUCCUGAGUGGCCUCUCUUGGAAGAUGUUCUUCUGAGCCCAUCCUGAGCUACAGCUCCCUCAGGGGACAGGGCGCAUCUAAAGGUCUCAGCAAAAAUCCAUCUGAUACGCUCUGUGCCUGACACAUAUCUCAGCCUCCUGAGCCCAUGAAGACGACUCCUGGUCAUCGCCAUUUCCUCCGCGUCUCUGGCUGUGUGCACAGCCCAAGCUCCUUGAGGCUGGCUGCUGAGUGAGCAGAGUUCACGCUGAAUUCCUUCCCCUCACCGCAGGGCAGACGGCUGCCCAGCUGAGGGAGCCUCGCUGGGAUGAGGGUCACCACAGCAUGGCGGGGGCAGGCUUCCAGCGCUGAUGAGUAAUUCUGCAGCCCGAAGAUCUGGGAAGAGGGCAUGUGACAACUCUGUGUAACAAUCAGCCAGCGUUCAGAGAGGAGGAGG
ensembl:lncRNA